rnacentral:rRNA from 1 species
CCCGCACAAGCGGUGGAGCAUGUGGUUUAAUUCGACGCAACGCGCAGAGCCUUACCAGCCCUUGACAUGGGGGUCGCGGGUACCAGAGACGGUACCCUUCAGUUCGGCUGGACCCCACACAGGUGCUGCAUGGCUGUCGUCAGCUCGUGUCGUGAGAUGUUGGGUUAAGUCCCGCAACGAGCGCAACCCUCAUCUUCAGUUGCCAGCGGUUAGGCCGGGCACUCUGAAGAAACUGCCGGUGACAAGCCGGAGGAAGGUGGGGAUGACGUCAAGUCCUCAUGGCCCUUAUGGGCUGGGCUACACACGUGCUACAAUGACGGUGACAACGGGAAGCGACAGGGCGACCUUGAGCUAAUCCCCAAAAGCCGUCUCAGUUCGGAUUGUACUCUGCAACUCGGGUGCAUGAAGGCGGAAUCGCUAGUAAUCGCGGAUCAGCACGCCGCGGUGAAUACGUUCCCGGGCCUU